GAAGAGUUUGAUCAUGGCUCAGAUUGAACGCUGGCGGCAGGCCUAACACAUGCAAGUCGAACGGUAGCACAGAGAGCUUGCUCUCGGGUGACGAGUGGCGGACGGGUGAGUAAUGUCUGGGAAACUGCCUGAUGGAGGGGGAUAACUACUGGAAACGGUGGCUAAUACCGCAUAACGUCGCAAGACCAAAGAGGGGGACCUUCGGGCCUCUUGCCAUCAGAUGUGCCCAGAUGGGAUUAGCUGGUUGGUGAGGUAACGGCUCACCAAGGCGACGAUCCCUAGCUGGUCUGAGAGGAUGACCAGCCACACUGGAACUGAGACACGGUCCAGACUCCUACGGGAGGCAGCAGUGGGGAAUAUUGCACAAUGGGCGCAAGCCUGAUGCAGCCAUGCCGCGUGUAUGAAGAAGGCCUUCGGGUUGUAAAGUACUUUCAGCGGGGAGGAAGGUGUUGUGGUUAAUAACCGCAGCAAUUGACGUUACCCGCAGAAGAAGCACCGGCUAACUCCGUGCCAGCAGCCGCGGUAAUACGGAGGGUGCAAGCGUUAAUCGGAAUUACUGGGCGUAAAGCGCACGCAGGCGGUCUGUCAAGUCGGA
rnacentral:rRNA from 1 species